CCUUUAGUGUGCAGCAAACGCAUUAAGCACUCCGCCUGGGGAGUACGGUCGCAAGACUGAAACUCAAAGGAAUUGACGGGGGCCCGCACAAGCGGUGGAGCAUGUGGUUUAAUUCGAAGCAACGCGAAGAACCUUACCAGGUCUUGACAUCCUUCGCUACUUCUAGAGAUAGAAGGUUCCCCUUCGGGGGACGAAGUGACAGGUGGUGCAUGGUUGUCGUCAGCUCGUGUCGUGAGAUGUUGGGUUAAGUCCCGCAACGAGCGCAACCCUUGAUCUUAGUUGCCAGCAUUCAGUUGGGCACUUUAAGGUGACUGCCGGUGACAAACCGGAGGAAGGUGGGGAUGACGUCAAAUCAUCAUGCCCCUUAUGACCUGGGCUACACACGUGCUACAAUGGAUGGUACAAAGGGCUGCAAGACUGCGAAGUCAAGCCAAUCCCAUAAAACCAUUCUCAGUUCGGAUUGCAGGCUGCAACUCGCCUGCAUGAAGCCGGAAUCGAUAGUAAUCGCGGAUCAGCA
rnacentral:rRNA from 1 species